rnacentral:rRNA from 1 species
AUUGAACGCUGGCGGCAGGCCUAACACAUGCAAGUCGAGCGGAGCGGCGGACGGGUGAGUAAUGCCUAGGAAUCUGCCUGGUAGUGGGGGAUAACGUCCGGAAAGGGGCGCUAAUACCGCAUACUAUCAGAUGAGCCUAGGUCGGAUUAGCUAGUUGGUGGGGUAAAGGCCUACCCAGUCGACGAUCCGUAACUGGUCUGAGAGGAUGAUCAGUCAAACGAGAACUGAGACACGGUGAAGACUCGUACGGGAGGCAGCAGUUGGGAAUAUUGGACAAUGGGCGAAAGCCUGAUGCAGCCAUGCCGGGUGUGUGAAGAAGGUCUUCGGAUUGUAAAGCACUUUAAGUUGGGCGGCGUUCGAAUCAGAAUAAGCCCCGGCUAACGGCGUGCCAGCAGCCGCGGUAAUAC